rnacentral:rRNA from 1 species
AGUGAACGCUGGCGGUAGGCCUAAUACAUGCAAGUCGAACGGCAGCACAGUAAGAGCUUGCUCUUACGGGUGGCGAGUGGCGGACGGGUGAGGAAUACAUCGGAAUCUACUUUUUCGUGGGGGAUAACGUAGGGAAACUUACGCUAAUACCGCAUACGACCUACGGGUGAAAGCAGGGGAUCUUCGGACCUUGCGCGAUUGAAUGAGCCGAUGUCGGAUUAGCUAGUUGGCGGGGUAAAGGCCCACCAAGGCGACGAUCCGUAGCUGGUCUGAGAGGAUGAUCAGCCACACUGGAACUGAGACACGGUCCAGACGCCUACGGGAGGCAGCAGUGGGGAAUAUUGGACAAUGGGCGCAAGCCUGAUCCAGCCAUACCGCGUGGGUGAAGAAGGCCUUCGGGUUGUAAAGCCCUUUUGUUGGGAAAGAAAAGCAGCAGGUUAAUACCCCGCUGUUCUGACGGUACCCAAAGAAUAAGCACCGGCUAACUUCGUG